AGAAGACUAAAGAGGGAGCCGCGCUGGCGGCGGAAAAGACCAAGAAGGAGCCAUGUUUAUCGGCACCAAGGCCAAAGACGGUGUUGGUUCAGCGAAGGACCUUUGCUGGUGAGCCAUGGA